UGGAUCCAGACUUUGAUUCUGGCUCAGGACGAACGCUGGCGGCGUGCCUAAUACAUGCAAGUCGAGCGAGCUUGCCUAGAUGAUUUUAGUGCUUGCACUAAAUGAAACUAGAUACAAGCGAGCGGCGGACGGGUGAGUAACACGUGGGUAACCUGCCCAAGAGACUGGGAUAACACCUGGAAACAGAUGCUAAUACCGGAUAACAACACUAGACGCAUGUCUAGAGUUUGAAAGAUGGUUCUGCUAUCACUCUUGGAUGGACCUGCGGUGCAUUAGCUAGUUGGUAAGGUAACGGCUUACCAAGGCAAUGAUGCAUGGCCGAGUUGAGAGACUGAUCGGCCACAUUGGGACUGAGACACGGCCCAAACUCCUACGGGAGGCGGCAGUAGGGAAUCUUCCACAAUGGACGAAAGUCUGAUGGAGCAACGCCGCGUGAGUGAAGAAGGGUUUCGGCUCGUAAAGCUCUGUUGGUAGUGAAGAAAGAUAGAGGUAGUAACUGGCCUUUAUUUGACGGUAAUUACUUAGAAAGUCACGGCUAACUACGUGCCAGCAGCCGCGGUAAUACGUAGGUGGCAAGCGUUGUCCGGAUUUAUUGGGCGUAAAGCGAGUGCAGGCGGUUCAAUAAGUCUGAUGUGAAAGCCUUCGGCUCAACCGGAGAAUUGCAUCAGAAACUGUUGAACUUGAGUGCAGAAGAGGAGAGUGGAACUCCAUGUGUAGCGGUGGAAUGCGUAGAUAUAUGGAAGAACACCAGUGGCGAAGGCGGCUCUCUGGUCUGCAACUGACGCUGAGGCUCGAAGGCAUGGGUAGCGAACAGGAUUAGAUACCCUGGUAGUCCAUGCCGUAAACGAUGAGUGCUAAGUGUUGGGAGGUUUCCGCCUCUCAGUGCUGCAGCUAACGCAUUAAGCACUCCGCCUGGGGAGUACGACCGCAAGGUUGCAACUCAAAGGAAUUGACGGA
rnacentral:rRNA from 1 species